UACGGAGGGGGCGAGCGUUAUUCGGAAUUAUUGGGGGUAAAGGGCGCGUAGGCGGCUUGAUGUGUCAAAGGUGAAAUCCCUCGGCUCAACUGAGGAACUGCCUUUGAAACUGUCUGGCUUGAGGCCGGGAGAGGGUAGCGGAAUUCCCAGUGUAGCGGUGAAAUGCGUAGAUACUGGGAGGAACACCGGUGGCGAAGGCGGCUACCUGGACCGGUUCUGACGCUGAUGCGCGAAAGCGUGGGUAGCAAACAGG
rnacentral:rRNA from 1 species